rnacentral:rRNA from 1 species
AAUCAACGCUGGCGGCGUGCCUCAGACAUGCAAGUCGAACGAUUAAAGCUCUCUUCGGAGAGUGCAUAGAGUGGCGCACGGGUGAGUAACACGUAAGUAAUCUACCCUCGAGUGGGGAAUAACAACCGGAAACGGUUGCUAAUACCGCAUAAUGCAGCGGCACCGCAAGGUGACAGUUGUUAAAGAUUUAUCGCUUGAGGAGGAGCUUGCGGCAGAUUAGCUAGUUGGUAAGGUAAUGGCUUACCAAGGCUACGAUCUGUAACCGGUCUAAGAGGACGGUCGGUCACACUGACACUGAAUAACGGGUCAGACUCCUACGGGGGCAGCAGUCGGGAAUUUUGGGCAAUGGGGGAAACCCUGACCCAGCAACGCCGCGUGAAGGAUGAAGUAUUUCGGUAUAGUAAACUUACGAAAGAAUAGGAAGAAUUAAUGACGUACUAUUUAUAAGGUCCGGCUAACUACGUG